rnacentral:rRNA from 1 species
GUUUGAUUCUGGCUCAGGAUGAACGCUGGCGGCAUGCCUAAUACAUGCAAGUCGAACGGAGUGAAGCCUUCGGGUUUCAUUCAGUGGCGAACGGGUGAGUAAUACGCAGGGAACCUGGCCAUGGCAGGGGGAUACACUCUGGAAACGGAGCAUAAGACCCCAUAGGCAGUAAGGCGGCAUCGCCUUACUGUUAAAGAAAGCUGAGAGGCUUUGGCGAUGGAUGGACCUGCGGUGCAUUAGCUUGUUGGUGAGGCAACGGCUUCCCAAGGCGAUGAUGCAUAGCCGGCCUGAGAGGGCGGACGGCCACACUGGGACUGAGACACGGCCCAGACUCCUGCGGGAGGCAGCAGUAGGGAAUUUUCGUCAAUGGGCGCAAGCCUGAACGAGCAAUGCCGCGUGAGUGAGGAAGGUCUUCGGACUGUAAAGCUCUGUUGCCGGGGAAAAAGGGGAAAUGCAGGAAAUGGCAUUUCAUGGAUGGUACCCGGCCAGAAAGCCACGGCUAACUACGUGCCAGCAGCCGCGGUAAUACGUAGGUGGCGAGCGUUAUCCGGAAUGAUUGGGCGUAAAGGGUGCGCAGGCGGUCUGUUAAGUCUGAAGGCAAAGGGAUGAGCUCAACUCAUUUAUGAUUCAGAAACUGGCAGACUUGAGGACAGGAGAGGGCGGUGGAACUCCAUGUGUAGCGGUAAAAUGCGCAGAGAUAUGGAAGAACACCAGUGGCGAAGGCGGCCGCCUGGCCUGUGACUGACGCUGAGGCACGAAAGCGUGGGGAGCAAAUAGGAUUAGAUACCCUAGUAGUCCACGCCGUAAACGAUGAGGAGCAGGUGUUGGGAGUGAAAUCUCAGUGCCGAAGCCAACGCAGUGACUCCUCCGCCUGGGGAGUAUGCACGCAAGUGUGAAACUCAAAGGAAUUGACGGGGGCCCGCACAAGCGGUGGAGUAUGUGGUUUAAUUCGAAGCAACGCGAAGAACCUUACCAGGUUUUGACAUCGGAUGCGAAGGCGCAGAGAUGCGCUGGAGGCUAUCAUCCAGACAGGUGGUGCAUGGUUGUCGUCAGCUCGUGUCGUGAGAUGUUCAGUUAAGUCUGGCAACGAGCGCAACCCCCGUGGUAUGUUACUAACGCUUUAGGGCGAGGACUCAUAUCAGACUGCCGGUGACAAACCGGAGGAAGGCGGGGAUGACGUCAAAUCAUCAUGCCCCUUAUGACCUGGGCUACACACGUACUACAAUGGCGUCUACAGAGGGAAGCGACCCUGAGAAGGGAAGCGAAACCGGAAAAGGGCGUCCCAGUUCGGAUUGAAGUCUGCAACCCGACUUCAUGAAGAUGGAAUCGCUAGUAAUCGCGGAUCAGCAUGCCGCGGUGAAUACGUUCCCGGGCCUUGUACACACCGCCCGUCAAACCAUGGAAGCCGGCAACGCCCGAAGCCGGUGGCAUAACCUUUUAGGAGUGAGCCGUCGAAGGCGGGGCCGAUGACUGGGGUUAAGUCGUAACAAGGUACCC